rnacentral:lncRNA from 1 species
AAAAUGCGGGAGAGAGCGAGAGAGCGAGGCAACCCGGGGCUCAAAACAGUCAAAUUCAAAUUAAAAGGUCGAGACACGAAUCAGGGAAUAUUCCGGGAAAGAAAGAGGGAACCUGCGGAGCCUCGGUCAGUUUGGAGGAGUCACGUAUCACACGGGAAACCAGCACACAAGACGCAACAAAACCCGACCCAGAGAAGCGUCCUUUACAGAGCGCACGGGCUGGGAGCAUGUUUGAAAGAAGACAGACCAGUCUAUUUUUGUGGUUGUUUUUAAAUAAAAGGAAGAAAUAAGGGGAACCGUAUGUUUCAAACAGUUAUUUCCGUUUCUCCAUCGCCUUCUUCCAAAGCGAACUAAACUCUCCACCCCUUCCUCAGGAAACGGAAUCUGGAGAACAACUUGUCUUUCCUGUCGCCCCACAUUUUUCCUUGGACAGAGCCUAGGGUUCAGACUUUCCGAAGGGCUGGAGUUUGGCGGGGAAAGGACUGGAGCCCAGCGCCCUGGAGUGGAGGAGUGAGGAGGCUAGACCGUUUCUAAGGAGGCCCAAGCCCGCUGCGGCUAGAAGACCGCAGAAAGAAAUCCGCCGAAUUUCCCCAUCCAGGGGUGGAGAGAGAAGACGCAGGGGUUCCUGAACCUCCGGAAAACUGGAAGGAAAUGUGGAGUGUAUGAUUUGCUUGCAGGACCGGCCAGGGGAGAUUUGAAAUGGUUUUGUGUUUUCAUAUGCAGGGUCACCGUGGCCUCAGCAUGGGGGUUAUCCAGGGCAAGGUUAGGCUGUUUAGGCCCCAGACUUGGGACAGUCCGGGCAGCAGUCAAUCCAGGGAGCCAUUUGUCCCACCGCCCAUCCCGCGGGAAACGGGCGAGACUUUAUGGCCACUCUGUUUGUAUUAUCUGCAUUAGUCUUUCCCCACCAGUUUGAUCGAAACCUUUCCCUUUUACGAGGACCCAACGAAAAUUUCCCGUCAUAUUUAUCAGCCA